UACGUAGGGGGCUAGCGUUGUCCGGAAUCAUUGGGCGUAAAGCGCGUGUAGGCGGUCCGGUAAGUCCGCUGUGAAAGUCGAGGGCUCAACCCUCGAAUGCCGGUGGAUACUGUCGGGCUAGAGUGCGGAAGAGGCGAGUGGAAUUCCUGGUGUAGCGGUGAAAUGCGCAGAUAUCAGGAGGAACACCAAUGGCGAAGGCAGCUCGCUGGGACGGUACUGACGCUGAGACGCGAAAGCGUGGGGAGCAAACAGG
rnacentral:rRNA from 1 species